GACUGCAUGAAGCUGGAAUCGCUAGUAAUCGCGAAUCAGCAUGUCGCGGUGAAUACGUUCCCGGGUCUUGUACACACCGCCCGUCACACCAUGGGAGUUGGUAACGCCCGAAGCCAGUGACCCAACCGGAAACGGAGGGAGCUGUCGAAGGUGGGACCGAUAACUGGGGUGAAGUCGUAACAAGGUAUC
rnacentral:rRNA from 1 species